UUUCCGUUCGUGUUUGGUUUGUUUGUUGUUUAUUAAAACCCACGAACGCGAUAUCUGCCUGCGCCUGGUUCCUUCAACACCACACAACGACGAAGUGUUACAAAUAUCAGUUAUUUUUGCAUAUCAACAUUAAUUAAUCCCGUUUUAGGAAAUGUAAAAUCACCACAAAAAAUGUUUUGACAACAUGUAAAUCUUGUCAGGACUAGAUUACGUUUUUCGACAGUUUCUGUUUUCGUAAUUAGAUUUUGUGGAAAUAUUCCUGAUCUUACAGGAAAAGUCCCGUGUAGAGAGUUCUAUCAAAAGAGGUUUAUUGAGAUGGAGAAAAAACACAAAGUUACUCUGAUCUGUUCAGUUGGAUCGUACAGUUACUGGAGAUAUACAUGGUACAAAGACAACACUAUGAUUACAGUGUACCAGUCUGAAUACAUUAUAUCAGGGAACAACCUCAUCAGAAGAGUUAGAGUCGGAGCAGGGUUCAUACAGAUGCCAUGGAUACCAACAUGACAGACCCACAUCUACAUCCACCAGUGAUCAGGUCACUGUAACUGUGAAAGCUGGUUGAGUUGAAUCAGGACAAAUGCCACAUCACCUGUCCCAGAAGCAGAAGAAGAACCAGCAACAACUGACACAGAACAUAGAACAUUUUCCUUAGUCACACUACUAGAGUCACUGUGUCUCCUUCAGUCACUGGAUGGACGGGACUCUCCAGGAUCACAUCACCAUCUGUGGACAUAAUAUAAAUCAUUAUUAUAAUAAUAAAUGUUAAUUGUGACACUGGGGUCUAUUAAAAUCCUGAGAAAUUGGGUUUCACAAGUCAUCAUCCAGUUACAGCACUGAACAUUCUAUCAUACCGUCUAUAAAACUAAUACAUUACCAGUCACUGUGAUGUUGACAGCAUUACUGUUCUCUCCUGAUCCAGACUCACACCAGUACACUCCACUGUCCUGAAUCAGAGUGGUUCUGAUGUUACAUGUGGACCCUUGUAUUGUUCCCCUGUAUGAAACACACCCUGACUCUGUUCCUCUGUCUGUGUAUCUCAUCAGUCUCCAUCCGGUGGAGUUUCCUUUCUUCUUACAGCUUAGUGAGACAGAUGUCCUUGUAAAAUGCUGAGUUCUGUUAGGAUUUACUGUCAGAGAGACUGCAGACGGCAGAUCUAAAACAAAAGCUCAACCCUUUAGGUAUUCAUACACAUAAAAUUGUCUAAAUAAGGUGAUCGUUCUAC